rnacentral:rRNA from 1 species
UACGAAGGGGGCUAGCGUUGCUCGGAAUUAUUGGGCGUAAAGCGCACGUAGGCGGCUCUUUAAGUCGGAGGUGAAAUCCUGGAGCUCAACUCCAGAACUGCCUUCGAUACUGAAGAGCUCGAGUCCGGGAGAGGUGAGUGGAACUGCGAGUGUAGAGGUGAAAUUCGUAGAUAUUCGCAAGAACACCAGUGGCGAAGGCGGCUCACUGGCCCGGUACUGACGCUGAGGUGCGAAAGCGUGGGGAGCAAACAGG